GCCUGGUGGCUCAUUUGGUUGAGCGUCUGACUUUGGCUCAGGUCAUGAUCUCACAGUUUGUGAGUUCAAGCCCCACAUCGGGCU
rnacentral:tRNA from 1 species